rnacentral:misc_RNA from 1 species
AAGUCGUAACAAUGUUUCCGUAGGUGAACCUGCGGAAGGAUCAUUAACACGUAUCCAAACGUUAAACCCCCCUGUGAACCUUCACCUGUACUCGUCGUCCGUUAGAAAAAGCAGCAAUCCCUGGUAAAUCAUCGCCGAACAGUUUUCGAUUCAGGGACGUCUGCAAGGAGCGUGCAUGUUGUGCGAAGCAAGUGGCCUGGCAUCCCCAAGCAGUUAGUGUCUGAAAGUGUCAUUACCUGUGUAAGGAUGACGCAGUCACGAUCGUUGGAGGCCCACACGGCCGACGACCGGGUCGCUGGGCGCAAGCCCCCCUAUAACAAACCCCCUGCCAAUCGCGGCCGCGAUAAUACGCAGUCGACCAAAAACCGAACAACUGUUAACAAUGGAUAUCUUGGUUCUC